UGGAUGAACGCUAGCUACAGGCUUAACACAUGCAAGUCGAGGGGCAGCAUCAUCAAAGCUUGCUUUGAUGGAUGGCGACCGGCGCACGGGUGAGUAACACGUAUCCAACCUGCCGACAACACUGGGAUAGCCUUUCGAAAGAAAGAUUAAUACCGGAUGGCAUAGUUUUUCCGCAUGGGAUAAUUAUUAAAGAAUUUCGGUUGUCGAUGGGGAUGCGUUCCAUUAGGCAGUUGGCGGGGUAACGGCCCACCAAACCAACGAUGGAUAGGGGUUCUGAGAGGAAGGUCCCCCACAUUGGAACUGAGACACGGUCCAAACUCCUACGGGAGGCAGCAGUGAGGAAUAUUGGUCAAUGGACGAGAGUCUGAACCAGCCAAGUAGCGUGAAGGAUGACUGCCCUAUGGGUUGUAAACUUCUUUUAUACGGGAAUAAAGUGAGCCACGUGUGGCUUUUUGUAUGUACCGUAUGAAUAAGGAUCGGCUAACUCCGUGCCAGCAGCCGCGGUAAUACGGAGGAUCCGAGCGUUAUCCGGAUUUAUUGGGUUUAAAGGGAGCGUAGGCGGGUUGUUAAGUCAGUUGUGAAAGUUUGCGGCUCAACCGUAAAAUUGCAGUUGAUACUGGCGACCUUGAGUGCAACAGAGGUAGGCGGAAUUCGUGGUGUAGCGGUGAAAUGCUUAGAUAUCACGAAGAACUCCGAUUGCGAAGGCAGCUUACUGGAUUGUAACUGACGCUGAUGCUCGAAAGUGUGGGUAUCAAACAGGAUUAGAUACCCUGGUAGUCCACACAGUAAACGAUGAAUACUCGCUGUUGGCGAUAUACGGUCAGCGGCCAAGCGAAAGCAUUAAGUAUUCCACCUGGGGAGUACGCCGGCAACGGUGAAACUCAAAGGAAUUGACGGGGGCCCGCACAAGCGGAGGAACAUGUGGUUUAAUUCGAUGAUACGCGAGGAACCUUACCCGGGUUUAAAUUGCAACUGACGGAAUCGGAAACGGUUCUUUCUUCGGACAGUUGUGAAGGUGCUGCAUGGUUGUCGUCAGCUCGUGCCGUGAGGUGUCGGCUUAAGUGCCAUAACGAGCGCAACCCUUACGGGUAGUUACCAUCAGGUUAUGCUGGGGACUCUACCCGGACUGCCGUCGUAAGAUGUGAGGAAGGUGGGGAUGACGUCAAAUCAGCACGGCCCUUACGUCCGGGGCUACACACGUGUUACAAUGGGGGGUACAGAAGGCAGCUACACGGCGACGUGGUGCUAAUCCCAAAAGCCUCUCUCAGUUCGGAUUGGAGUCUGCAACCCGACUCCAUGAAGCUGGAUUCGCUAGUAAUCGCGCAUCAGCCACGGCGCGGUGAAUACGUUCCCGGGCCUUGUACACACCGCCCGUCAAGCCAUGAAAGCCGGGGGUACCUGAAGUACGUAACCGCGAGGAGCGUCCUAGGGUAAAACUGG
rnacentral:rRNA from 1 species